GACGAACGCUGGCGGCGUGCUUAACACAUGCAAGUCGAACGGAAAGGCCCUGCUUUUGUGGGGUGCUCGAGUGGCGAACGGGUGAGUAACACGUGAGUAACCUGCCCUUGACUUGGGGAUAACUUCAGGAAACUGGGGUUAAUACCGGAUAGGAGCUCCUGCUGCAUGGUGGGGGUUGGAAAGUUUCGGCGGUUGGGGAUGGACUCGCGGCUUAUCAGCUUGUUGGUGGGGUAGUGGCUUACCAAGGCUUUGACGGGUAGCCGGCCCGAGAGGGUGACCGGCCACAAUGGGACUGAGAUACGUCCCAGACUCCUACGGGAGGCAGCAGUGGGGAAUAUUGCACAAUGGGCGGAAGCCUGAUGCAGCAACGCCGCGUGCGGGAUGACGGCCUUCGGGUUGUAAACCGCUUUCGCCUGUGACGAAGCGUGAGUGACGGUAAUGGGUAAAGAAGCACCGGCUAACUACGUG
rnacentral:rRNA from 1 species